CUACGGGGGGCACCAGUCGAGAAUAUUGGACAAUGGGGGAAACCCUGAUCCAGCGACGCCGCGUGCUCGAUGAAGUCCUUCGGGAUGUAAAGAGCUUUUCUUGGGGAUGAACUUUUGUGACAGUACCCAAGGAAUAAAAGGAUGCAAAUCACGUGCCAGCAGCCGCGGUAAUACGUGAUCCUUGAGCGUUAUCCGGAUUUAUUGGGCGUAAAGGGUCCGUAGGCGGCCGAAAAAGUCUGAGGUUGAAGGCCCAGGGCUUAACCUUGGGAAUGCCUUAGAAACUUUUCGGCUUGAGGGCGUUAGAGGAGAGCGGAACGGUUGGUGUAGGAGUGAAAUCCGUUGAUAUCAACCGGAACACCAAAUGCGAAGGCAGCUCUCUGGGGCGACCCUGACGCUGAGGGACGAAAGCGUGGGUAGCAAAAAGGAUUAGAUACCCCAGUAGUC
rnacentral:rRNA from 1 species